rnacentral:rRNA from 1 species
AUUGAACGCUGGCGGCAGGCCUAACACAUGCAAGUCGAGCGGAUGAAGAGAGCUUGCUCUCUGAUUCAGCGGCGGACGGGUGAGUAAUGCCUAGGAAUCUGCCUGGUAGUGGGGGACAACGUUUCGAAAGGAACGCUAAUACCGCAUACGUCCUACGGGAGAAAGCAGGGGACCUUCGGGCCUUGCGCUAUCAGAUGAGCCUAGGUCGGAUUAGCUAGGUGGUGGGGUAAUGGCCCACCAAGGCGACGAUCCGUAACUGGUCUGAGAGGAUGAUCAGUCACACUGGAACUGAGACACGGUCCAGACUCCUACGGGAGGCAGCAGUGGGGAAUAUUGGACAAUGGGCGAAAGCCUGAUCCAGCCAUGCCGCGUGUGUGAAGAAGGUCUUCGGAUUGUAAAGCACUUUAAGUUGGGAGGAAGGGCAUUAACCUAAUACGUUAGUGUUUUGACGUUACCAACAGAAUAAGCACCGGCUAACUUCGUGCCAGCAGCCGCCGUAACAC